AACGCGAAGAACCUUACCUGGGCUCGAACGGCUUCAGACCGUCGUGGAAACACGAUCUUCCCCUUAAAAGGACUGGAGUCGAGGUGCUGCAUGGCUGUCGUCAGCUCGUGUCGUGAGAUGUUGGGUUAAGUCCCGCAACGAGCGCAACCCUUGUCCUGUGUUGGCAUGCCGCAAGGCGCAACUCUCAGGAGACCGCCAGCGAUAAGUUGGAGGAAGGUGGGGAUGACGUCAAGUCAUCAUGGCCUUUAUGUCCAGGGCCACACACGUGCUACAAUGGGCGGUACAAAGCGCUGCCAACCCGCGAGGGGGAGCUAAUCGCCAAAAACCGUCCUCAGUUCGGAUUGCAGGCUGCAACUCGCCUGCAUGAAGCUGGAAUCGCUAGUAAUGCUAUAUCAGAACGAUAGCGUGAAUACGUUCCCGGGCCUUGUA
rnacentral:rRNA from 1 species